UUAAUGGAGAGUUUGAUCCUGGCUCAGGACGAACGCUGGCGGCGUGCCUAAUACAUGCAAGUCGAGCGAGGUUAUUUAGAAGCUUGCUUCUAAAUAACCUAGCGGCGGACGGGUGAGUAACACGUAGGCAACCUGCCCACAAGACAGGGAUAACUACCGGAAAC
rnacentral:rRNA from 1 species